rnacentral:rRNA from 1 species
GUCUACAGCCAUACCACCCUGAACACGCCCGAUCUCGUCUGAUCUCAGAAGCUAAGCAGGGUCGGGCCUGGUUAGUACUUG